rnacentral:tRNA from 1 species
GGGACAGUAGCUUAGCCUGGGAAAGCACUCGGCUGAAGACCGAGUUAUCGCGAGUUCAAAUCUCGCCUGUCCCA